GUCAAGGCCCCCUCAUUUUUCCUGAAGUGUCCCUUUGUUCUGACUGGCCCUCUGCUUUUCAGAAGUCUUAAUGUUGCUAAAUCUGAAUCAGAUACAUGAGUUCCUUCUUCCUCUUACAGAUUGUAAUAGUUUGCAUUAACAGAUUGUAAUUGCCUGCUUCCCUGGUGUCUCAGAUGAUUAAGAGUCUGCCUGAAAUGCAGGAGACCCGGUUUGUUCUCUGGGUUGGGAAUAUCCCCUGGAGAAGGGAAUGGGUACCCACUCCAGUAUUCUUGCCUAGAGAAUUCCAUGGACAGAAGAGUCUGGUGGGCUACAGUCCAUGCAAUCACAAAGAGUGGGACCCAACUGAUUGCUCAGUUGUGUUGGACUCUUGGACCCCAUGGACUGUAGCACACCAGGCUUCCCUGUCCUUCACCAUCUCCUGGAGCUUGCUCAAAUUCAUGUCCAUCGAGUCCACCCAUUUCAUCCUUUGUCGUCCCCUUCUCCUGCCUUCAAUCUUUACCAGCAUCAGGACCUUUUCUAAUGAGUCGGCUGUCUGCAUCAGGUGGCCAAAGUAUUGGAGCUUCAACUUCAGCAUCAGUCCUUCCAGUGAUUCAGGAUUGAUUUCCUUUAGGACGGACUAGUUUGAUAUCCUUGCAAGUGACUCUCAAGAGUCUUCUUCAACACCACAAUUCAAAGGCAUUGAUUCUUCGGUGCUCAGCAUUCUUG
ensembl:lncRNA